rnacentral:rRNA from 1 species
CAAUAGCGUAUAUUAAAGUUGUUGCAGUUAAAAAGCUCGUAGUUGGAUUUGUGGCGUACGGUGGGUUCCGGGCACUUGUUGUCUGAGUAACUUGCUGUUGCCAUCCUUGGGUGGAACCUGUGUGGCAUUAGGUUGUCGUGCAGGGGAUGCCCAUCAUUUACUGUGAAAAAAUUAGAGUGUUCAAAGCAGGCUUAUGCCGUUGAAUAUAUUAGCAAGGAAUAAUGAGAUAGGACUUUUUUGCUAUUUUGUUGGUUUGCGCAAAGAGGUAAUGAUUAAUAGGGACAGUUGGGGGUAUUCGUAUUCCAUUGUCAGAGGUGAAAUUCUUGGAUUUUUGGAAGACGAACUACUGCGAAAGCAUUUACCAAGGAUGUUUUCAUUAA